rnacentral:rRNA from 1 species
GACGUAGGGCGCGAGCGUUGUCCGGAUUUAUUGGGCGUAAAGAGCUCGUAGGCGGCUUGUCGCGUCGACUGUGAAAUCCCGCGGCUCAACUGCGGGUCUGCAGUCGAUACGGGCAGGCUAGAGUUCGGUAGGGGAGACUGGAAUUCCUGGUGUAGCGGUGAAAUGCGCAGAUAUCAGGAGGAACACCCGUGGCGAAAGCGGCUCUCUGGAACGGUACUGACGCUGAGACGCGAAAGCGUGGGGAGCGAACAGG